GAGUUUGAUCCUGGCUCAGCCUGAACGCUGGCGGCGUGGCUAAGACAUGCAAGUCGUACGGGUGUAGCAAUACACCCGUGGCGGACGGGUGAGUAAUGAAUCGCUAAUGUACCCCGGACUCUGGGAUAGCCGGUCGAAAGGCCGGGUAAUACCAGAUGAUAUGGCGACAGGGCAUCCUGUUGACCUCAAAGGGAAACCGGUCUGGGUGCAGGCGAUUUCGUAUCAGGUAGUUGGUGCGGGUAACGGCCCACCAAGCCGACGACGCGUAGCUGGUCUGAGAGGACGGCCAGCCGCAUUGGGACUGAGACACUGCCCAGACUCCUACGGGGGGCUGCAGUAACGAAUCUUCCGCAAUGCACGCAAGUGUGACGGAGCGACGCCGCGUGGAGGUUAAGUCCUUCGGGAUGUAAACUCCUGUCAGGGGUUACCAAGUUCUGAGGAGCCCCAGAGGAAGGCACGGCUAACUCUGUGCCAGCAGCCGCGGUAAGACAGAGGUUGCAAACGUUGUUCGGAAUCACUGGGCAUAAAGCGCACGUAGGCGGCCAACUAAGUCAGAUGUGAAAUCCCCCGGCUCAACCGAGGAACUGCGUCUGAUACUGAUUGGCUUGAGAACGGUAGGGGUGAGCGGAACUCCAGGUGGAGCGGUGAAAUGCGUAGAUAUCUGGAGGAACACCGGUGGCGAAAGCGGCUCACUGGACCGUAACUGACGCUGAGGUGCGAAAGCUAGGGUAGCAAACGGGAUUAGAUACCCCGGUAGUCCUAGCCGUAAACGAUGGGCACUUGGUAAGGGGGAUUCCUAUGGUCCUCCUUGCCGUAGCUAAUGUGUUAAGUGCCCCGCCUGGGGAGUACGCUCGCAAGGGUAAAACUCAAAGGAAUUGACGGGGACCCGCACAAGCGGUGGAUUAUGUGGAUUAAUUCGAUGCAACGCGAAAAACCUUACCUACCCUUGACAUGUACGGAAUUUCCCAGAGAUGGGAAAGUGCCCGAAAGGGAACCGUAACACAGGUGCUGCAUGGCUGUCGUCAGCUCGUGUCGUGAGAUGUUGGGUUAAGUCCCGCAACGAGCGCAGCCCUUGUCGUUAGUUACCAGCACAUUAUGGUGGGCACUCUAAGGAGACUGCCGGUGACAAACCGGAGGAAGGUGGGGAUGACGUCAAGUCAUCAUGGCCCUUACGGCCUGGGCUACACACGUGCUACAAUGGUCGGUACAGAGGGUUGCCAAGCCGCGAGGUGGAGCUAAUCCCAGAAAACCGAUCGUAGUCCGGAUCGCAGUCUGCAACUCGACUGCGUGAAGUCGGAAUCGCUAGUAAUCGCGAAUCAGAAUGUCGCGGUGAAUACGUUCCCGGGCCUGCACACAC
rnacentral:rRNA from 1 species